CCUACGGGUGGCAGCAGUGGGGAAUAUUGCACAAUGGGGGGAACCUUGAUGCAGCAACGCCGCGUGGGUGAAGAAGUACUCCGGUAUGUAAAGCCCUGUCAGCAGGGAAGAAAAUGACGGUACGUGACCAAGAAGCCCCGGCUAACUACGUGCCAGCAGCCGCGGUAAAACGGGGGGGGCAAGCGUUAUCCGGAUUUAUUGGGUGUAAAGGGAGCGUAGGCGGCAAGGCAAGUCUGGCGUGAAAGCCCGUGGGCCAACCCCGGGACUGCUUUGGAAACUGGGUUGCUGGAGUGGAGGAGAGGUAGGCGGAAUGCGUGGUGUAGCGGUGAAAUGCGUAGAUAUUAGGAAGAACACCGGUGGCGAAGGCAGCUUGCUGGACUGUAACUGACGUUGAGGCACGAAGGCGUGGGGAGCGAACAGGAUUAGAUACCCUAGUAGUC
rnacentral:rRNA from 1 species